rnacentral:lncRNA from 1 species
ACUUUUUUAAACUCCCCCAGACUGGGCAUCAUCUUCAGACUCUUCAUCCCCUGAUUUCUUAGGUGGAGAGUCUGCAGAGGUUUUCUUUCUGGAGGGUUUUCUGGUUCCUCCUCUUCUUCUUUGGGAGGAUGAGUCUUUUCCUUUGAUGCCUCUGAAGCUGUGAGAUGACCUACUUUCCGUUUGCCUGUCACAAGGCCUAGUGUCCCUGCAGCCUUUAGUCUUGGUUUGGGCAUUUUCUUUUCUUUUUUCUCAGGUUUGGGCUUCUUUUUUUUUUUUUUUUUUUCUUUUUUAGGUUUGGACUUCUUAACCAUCUUUUUGUUUUCCUUUUUCAAGCUGCCAUAGUCAGUGCCAUAAUCAUCUUCCAUUAGGAAAUCAUAAUUGCUGCUAGAAUCUUUCUCCUGGAAUUGUGCCCCAUCCUCCUCUUGUUCUUCACUGCCCACAUCUUCCAUGAGCAUCUCUCUCUGUUUGGAAGCUGCUUUAGAGGCUGCCUGCCCUUUCUUGCACACAUUCUUAUGGGCUUCUUUUUCAUCAUCCCUGGCCUCUGCUGAGUGAGAAUCAUCCUUGGUCUUCACAUCUUUUUAUUCUGAGUCUUCACUAUCCUCCUGUGAAUUCUUUCCUAUCACCUCUUAUUUUUAGCUUCUCCAGGAAAUGACUGAAUUUUCUUAGCUGUAAGGCCUAAAUCUCUUCCAUAAACCUUCUCAGUAUCAUUAAAUCCCUGGCACCAAAUAAUCAAUGACCUUUCUAUUUCUCACAGGCAGAGACAUUUUCUCUGUUGAAACAGGAUUGAGUCAAGAAGCCAAAGACCAGGCCUGUCACCCACCCCUACACGCAGUCAGCACAUCGCCUUUCAACUUUGGUCCAUGGAGCUGCUGCUGCCAAACCCCAACCUGCUGGCUUCUCAAAUUCUGCCACUUCUUGGAUCAGGGCCCCUUAAUCAGGCAUCAUUUCAAGGCUGAGAAUGAGGUUCCAAGGUUGAAGAGUCAAAUAUUGGUUCUCUGUGGGUACAUGAAAUGAGUUUUUCUUCCCUACCCUGUCUUUUCGUUAUGUCUGUAUCAGUGUCCUGUUGCAGAGAAAAGAAUCUACUCUAGUCAAUAUAACCAGAAGGGAUUUACUUGAGAAUGUUAAAUGCCACACAAGAUCAUUAGGAGUGUUGAAGACCCUGACUCUUGAUGAGGUUUUCAGGAAUCAUUCAGAAAGCUACACUGCAGAACUGGGCUGUCCUUGCCACUGUCCAGAAGCUGUAAGAGCAGGAAACUGCAUAUGACAUCAAGAGGAUNUUAAGGGAGCUGCUGUCCCUGCCACUGUCCAGAAGCUGUAAGAGCAGGAAACUGCAUAUGACAUCAAGAGGAUGAUGCUACAACAUCUGCCAGCUCCAGGGCGACACUACAUCUGCCAAUAGCUGCACCAGUAAAAUGGACUUCUGGUAUCCUGAUUCCCUAGCCAUAUGACUUAGUUUGAAAUAAAAAUUUUGUCCUAGUUCA